AGCAGCUGAACUGCAGAGGAUUUAGAGGCUCUAAACUUCUUCACAUAGCGUGAUUUCCUUAAGUCACAGAAUGAAAAUAAGAACAUCGUACGAAUCCUCCGCCCUUCAUGAACACAAUGAAGUAUUUUUCAUGUCUGUACUCCGACAAAUGUGGCCACAACAGCGAGUUAAAAAAGUCUGAGCCUGAGCGAUGAUCCGGAUUUUCUUGGAGAAAAAUAACAUUACCGUCAAUGGGAGAGAUUUCCGCCUUCUUUGGACAGUUGGUCACCUGCUGGCCAAGGGGUACGAUUUAAUGAUUUGAAACCUCUUUUGUGAGAAGCAGGACACAUAUACCUCCAUUUUGAUGUAUUAUUUGUGUCAGUGGAGUGAGAUUUGUGGGCGUGGGAGCGAUAUAUUCGAGCGAGGUUCUGUCGAUCAGAGACGAGGUCUGCACUCUAGCUGAUGACAUCAUCACUCUAAACUCUCCAAUACACACCCAUUAUAAAGCUUGAAAUUUGCUGAAAACCACAAGUUGCUUAAAGCUAAAUUGUGGAAGAACUGUAGAAGAUAUCAAAAAACCGAGUACAACUGUAAUAGUCGACAAGUGAGUGAACAUUUUAAAGCAAAAAUGAGGUCUCUAGGUGAAAGUAUGCUGAAGUUAUAAGGUCUAGAAGGUGGAAGAAUGAAAGGAAGAAGUUAAAGAUUUCCCCAUUGACUUCAAUGUUAAAAUUUUUGCACAAAAAGUUAAAAAAAUCAAAAAGUAUAAAAGGUAGAAGAGUGAAAAGUAAUAGCCAUCAUGUCCUGAAGGAGUGGAAUAGUUUAAAGUUUGAACGGUUGAAAUCGGACAAAGUUUGAAGGAGGAGAAGCGUUGCAAAAAAGGGACGGAAGAAUAAUAAUAAUAAUAACUAGAAAAAUUGCAUUUCCUUGCAGAAAAUGCGUGGAAAUGCUGAGUGCUGAAAGCUGAAAAAGCAAUGCUAAACUGCUAAUAAAACAUGGAGAAAUGUAUAAAUGUUAAAGCUGUUGAAGGGGUGUGAAAGAAAUGUAAGUUGGAUAAUUGAUUAAUUGGUUGAAGGACAAAUAGUAUGAAUAUGCUCUAUAAAAAGAAAUUUUAUUCAUACUGAAAGAGGCUAGAAAAAUGUCUAAAAUUGCACAAAGUUUGAAUGAAGAAGGAAAUUGCCUUAAAAGGCAGGAAGGUGGGAAGUGGCAUAAGUUUAAUUUUUUAAGUAUUAGAAAGGUUUGAAUCAGUUUGAAUCAGUUCAAAUUAGUUUGAAAAAUUAAAUGAUAAAUCAUCACUGAGUGACUUUAAAAUGUGAAAAAUCUAAAUGUAUAUAAAUCCUAAAUACACCCCAUAAUGUCCUCAAUGAGCUUAAAUUUUAAAGCCCUGAAUGGUUUCUGUAGGUCAAAGGUCAUGUGAGGAGAUAGGGGCUUAGGUUUUUUCAAGCGCUCUAGGAAAGGGUUUUAAGUGUCAUCCCCAGUGCUAUGUGUACUGAGCCUGGCUUCAUGUGUCUCAUAUGGCCAUUAGAAGCAGCUUUCCAGUCAGCUGUGUGUCUCCAGGUGCACAAAUUGGUUGCCAUGGGGACCUUGGAUGAAUAACUUUAGCAGGAGAAAGAAGGCUUGAAGCUAAGGAAACAGGACUCCAAGUAGGCCCUGACGCUCAUCCUCUGUAUCUAUUCCUGAUAAGGAGCUUGUGAGAACACAAGAUUUUGCUGAACACAUUAAUACAAUUUAUUAUCACAAUCCUCAAAACACCCCAUAAUAUCUUCAAUGAGCUGAAUUUUUGAAGCCCAGAAUGGUUUCUGUAGCUCAAAGUUUGUGGGUGGAGAUAGGUGGUGAAGCAGACACAUAUUACCUGUGUGUACAAGCAGGUGAACUGCAAGGUAGACCUGACAAUGCAACAAGUACAAGAAUGUGUGUGUGUGUGUGUGUGUGUGUGUGUGUGUCUCGUUAAUGAUUGCAUCCUAAGCAGCUGUGAGAUCAAAGGCAAAUCACUGACCUACUGUUUGAAUGGAGAAGCUGCUGAACUGCAGUGAAUUUACGGUUCUGAACUUCUUCACAUAGCACGAUUUCCUUAAGUCCCAGAAUGAAAAUAAGAACAUCGUACGAAUCCUCCGCCUUUCAUGAACACAAUGAUGUCUUUUUCAUGUCUGUACUCCGAAAAAUGUGGCCACAACAGCGAGUUAAAAAAGUCUGAGUCUGAGUGGGGAUAAGGAUUUUCUUGGAGAAGAAAUACAUUAGGUCUAAUGGGGAGAGAUUUCCGCCUAUUUGGACAGUUGGUCACCUGCUGGCCAAGGGGUAAGAUUUAAUGAUUUGAAACCUCUUUUGUGAGAAGCAGGACACAUAUACCUCCAUUUUGAUGUAUUUUUUAUGGGUGUGGAUUGAGAUUUGUGAGCGUGGGAGCGAUAUAUUCGAGCGAGGUUCUGUUGAUCAGAGACGAGGUCUGCACUCUAGCUUUUCAAAUCCUCACUCUAGCCUCUCCAAUACACCCCUAUUAUAAAGCCUGAAAUUUGCUGAAAACCACAAGUUGCAUUAAGCUAAAUUGUGGAAAAACUGUAAAAGAUAUUACAAAAAGACUAAUACAGUAUCAAUAGUCGACAAGACAAUGAACAUUUUAAAGCAAAAAUGAGGUCUCUAGGUGAAAGUAUGCUGAAGUUAUAAGGCUUAGAAGGUGGACAAAUAACAGGAAGAAUUGAAAGAUUUCCCCAUUCAUUUGUAUGGGAAAAAAAGUUUGGCACAAAAAGUGAAAAAUAAUAAAAAGUAUAAAGGGUAGAAAAAAGAAAAGUAAUAGCCAUCAUGUCCUGAAGGAGUGGAAUAGUUUAAAGUUUGAACGGUUGAAAUCGGACAAAGUUUGAAGGAGGAGAAGCGGUCCAAAGAAACGUAAGGGGAGAGUGUUAAGUAUAAUACUAGAAAAAUUGCAUUUCCUUGCAGAAAAUGCGUGGAAAUGCUGAGUGCUGAAAGCUGAAAAAGCAAUGCUAAACUGCUAAUAAAACAUGGAGAAAGGUAUAAAUGUUAAAGCUGUUGAAGGGGUGAAAAAGAAAUAUAAGUUGGAUAAUUGAUUAAUUGGUUGAAGGACAAAUAGUAUGAAUAUGCUCUAUAAAAGGAAAUUUUAUUCAUGCUGAAAGAGGCUAGAAAAAUGUCUAAAAUUGCACAAAGUUUGAAUGAAGAAGGAAAUUGCCUUAAAAGGCAGGAAGGUGAGAAGUGGCAUAAGUUUAAAUUGUAGUACUAGAAGUAGUAUGAUAAGAAGUCAAGUCGUGAUACUAGUAGUCAUGUCAGCAGUAGAAGUAGAUUGAGAAUAAAAGAAGUAUAAGUCAAAGUAGUAAAGAAAGUAGAAAUAGUAGCAAUAGCAGCAGUAGAGAAAGUAGAAAUAGGAGCAAUAGCAGUUGAAGUAGAGGGGAAAGUACUAGUUUAAUUGACAUAAGUAGUUGUAGUACUAGAGGUAGGAUUUUGUUUGAAGGACGGAUUAAUGCAUAAAUAUUAAAACUAAUAUAAAACAGGGAACAUUUUAUUAAUUAAAAAUCCUCAAGUAUCAGACAGUUUUUAAGUAUUAGAAAGGUUUGAAUCAUUUUGAAUGAGUUUAAAUUAGUUUGAAAAAUUAAAUGAUGAAUCAUCACUGAGUGACUUAUAAAAGUGAAAAAUUUAAAUGAAUAUAAAUCCUGAAUACACCCCAUAAUGUCCUCAAUGAGCUUAAAUUUUAAAGCCCUGAAUGGUUUCUGUAGGUCAAAGGUCAUGUGAGGAGAUAGGGGCUGAAGGUUUUUCAAGCGCUCUAUAUAUGUAUAAGGAGCUUGUGAGAACACAAGACUCUGCUAAACACAUUAAUACAAUUUAUUAUCACAAUCCUCAAGACACCCCAUAAUAUCUUCAAUGAGCUGAAUUUUUGAAGCCCAGAAUGGUUUCUGUAGCUCAAAGUUUGUGGGUGGAGAUAGGUGGUGAAGCAGACACAAAUUAACUGUGUGUACAAGCAGCUGAACUGCAAGGUAGACCUGACAAAGCAACAAGUACAAGAAUGUGUGUGUGUGUGUGCGUCUCGUUAAUGAUUGCAUCCUAAACAGCUGUGAGAUCAAAGCCAUGACCUAUUGACCUAUUGUUUGAAUGGAGAAGCUGCUGAACUGCAUUGAAUUUAGGGUUCUGAACUUCUUCACAUAGCGUGAUUUCCUUAAGGCCCAGAAUGAAAAUAAGAACAUCGUACGAAUCCUCCGUCCUUCAUGAACACAAUGAUGUGUUUUUCAUGUCUGUACUUCGAAAAAUGAGGCCACAACAGCGAGUUAAAAAUGUCUGAGCCUGAGCGAUGAUCCGGAUUUUCUUGGAGAAAAAUAACAUUAUGGUCAAUGGGAGAGAUAUCCGCCUUCCUUGGACAGUUGGUCACCUGCUGGCCAAGGGGUACGAUUUAAUGAUUUGAAACCCCUUUUGUGAGAAGCAGGACACAUAUACCUGCAUUUUGAUGUAUUUUUUAUGGCUGUGGAGUGAGAUUUGUGGGCGUGGGAGCGAUAUAUUCGAGCGAGGUUCUGUCGAUCAGAGACGAGGUCUGCACUCUAGCUUUUCAAAUCCUCACUCUAAACUCUCCAAUACACACCCAUUAUAAAGCCUGAAAAUUUGCUGAAAACCACAAGUUGCUUAAAGCUAAAUUGUGGAAAAACUGUAAAAGAUAGCACAAAAAGGUUAUACAAUAUCAAUAGUCGACAAGACAAUGAACAUUUUAAAGCAAAAAUGAGGUCUCUAGGUGAAAGUAUGCUGAAGUUAUAAGGCUUAGAAGGUGGACGAAUAACAGGAAGAAUUGGAAGAUUUCCCCAUUCAUUUCUAUGGGAAAAAAAGUUUGGCACAAAAAGUGAAAAAUAAUAAAAAGUAUAAAGGGUAGAAAAAAGAAAAGUAAUAGCCAUCAUGUCCUGAAGGAGUGGAAUCGUUUAAAGUUUGAACGGUUGAAAUCGGACAAAGUUUGAAGGAGGAGAAGCGGUCCAAAGAAACGUAUGGGGAGAGUGUUAAGUACAAUACUAGAAAAAUUGCAUUUCCUUGCAGAAAAUGCGUGGAAAUGCUGAGUGCUGAAAGCUGAAAAAACAAUGCUAAACUGCUAAUAAAACAUCGAGAAAGGUAUAAAUGUUAAAGCUGUUGAAGGGGUGAGAAAGACAUGUAAGUUGGAUAAUUGAUUAAUUGGUUGAAGGACAAAUAGUAUGAAUAUGCCCUAUAAAAGGAAAUUCUAUUCAUGCUGAAAGAGGCUAGAAAAAUGUCUGAAAUUGCACAAAGUUUGAAUGAAGAAGGAAAUUGCCUUAAAAGGCAGGAAGAUGGGAAGUGGCAUAAGUUUAAUUUUUUAAGUAUUAGAAAGGUUUGAAUCAGUUUCAAUCAGUUCAAAUUAGUUUGAAAAAUUAAAUGAUAAAUCAUCACUGAGUGAGUUUAAAAUGUGAAAAAUCUAAAUGUAUAUAAAUCCUAAAUACACACCAUAAUGUCCUCAAUGAGCUCAAAUUUUAAAGCCCUGAAUGGUUUCUGUAGGUCAAAGGUCAUGUGAGGAGAUAGGGGCUGAAGUUUUUUCAAGCGCUCUAGUAAAGGGUUUUAAGUGUCAUCCCCAGUGCUAUGUGUGCUGAGCCUGGCUUCAUGUGUCUCAUAUGGCCAUUAGAAGCAGCUUUCCAGUCAGCUGUGUGUCUCCAGGUGCACUAAUUGGUUGCCAUGGGGACCUUGGAUGCAUAACUAUAGCAGGAGAAAGAAGGCUUGAAGCUAAGGAAACAGGACUCCAAGUAGGCCCUGACGCUCAUCCUCUGUAUCUAUUCCUGAUAAGGAGCUUGUGAGAACACAAGACUCUGCUAAACACAUUAAUACAAUUUAUUAUCACAAUCCUCAAAACACCCCAUAAUAUCUUCAAUGAGCUGAAUUUUAGAAGCCCAGAAUGGUUUCUGUAGCUCAAAGUUUGUGGGUGGAGAUAGGUGGCGAAGCAGACACAUAUUAACUGUGUGUACAAGCAGCUGAACUGCAAGGUAGACCUCAUAAAGCAACAAGUACAAGAAUGUGUGUGUGUGUGUGUGUGUGUGUCUCUCGUUAAUGACUGCAUCCUAAACAGCUGUGAGAUCAAAGGCAAAUCACUGACCUACUGUUUGAAUGAGAAGCAGCUGAACUGCAGAGGAUUUAGAGGCUCUAAACUUCUUCACAUAGCGUGAUUUCCUUAAGUCACAGAAUGAAAAUAAGAACAUCGUACGAAUCCUCCGUCCUUCAUGAACACAAUGAUGUGUUUUUCAUUUCUGUACUUCGAAAAAUGAGGCCACAACAGCGAGUUAAAAAAGUCUGAGCCUGAGCGAUGAUCCGGAUUUUCUUGGAGAAAAAUAACAUUAUGGUCAAUGGGAGAGAUUUCCGCCUUUUUUGGACAGUUGGUCACCUGCUGGCCAAGGGGUACGAUUUAAUGAUUUGAAACCUCUUUUGUGAGAAGGAGGACACAUAUACCUCCAUUUUGAUGUAUUAUUUGUGUCAGUGGAAUGAGAUUUGUGGGCGUGGGAGCGAUAUAUACGAGCGAGGUUCUGUCGAUCAGAGACGAGGUCUGCACUCUAGCUGAUGACAUCAUCACUCUAAACUCUCCAAUACACACCCAUUAUAAAGCUUGAAAUUUGCUGAAAACCACAAGUUGCUUAAAGCUAAAUUGUGGAAAAACUGUAAGAGAUAUCAAAAAACUGAUUACAACUAUAAUAGUCGACAAGUGAAUGAACAUUUUAAAGCAAAAAUGAGGUCUCUAGGUGAAAGUACGCUGAAGUUAUAAGGUCUAGAAGGUGGAAGAAUAAAAGGAAGAAUUGGAAGAUUUCCCCAUUGACUUCAAUGUUAAAAUUUUUGCACAAAAAGUUAAAAAAAACAAAAAGUAUAAAUGUUAGAAAAGUGAAAAGUAAUAGCAAACGUGUCCUGAAGGAGUGGAAUAGUUUAAAGUUUGAACGGUUGAAAUCGGACAAACUGGGAAGGAGUUGAAAGCGGACGAAAAACGGCGGAAGAAUAAUAAUAAUAAAGAAACGGGAGAAUAACAAUAAGUGGAAAUGCUUAAUCAGCAUUUCCACUUAACUAGAAAAAUUGCAUUUCCUUGCAGAAAAUGCGUGGAAAUGCUGAGUGCUGAAAGCUGAAAAAGCAAUGCUAAACUGCUAAUAAAACAUGGAGAAAGGUAUAAAUGUUAAAGCUGUUGAAGGGGUGAAAAAGAAAUAUAAGUUGGAUAAUAGUUUAAUUGGUUGAAGGACAAAUAGUAUGAAUAUGCUCUAUAAAAGGAAAUUUUAUUCAUGCUGAAAGAGGCUAGAGAAAUGUCUAAAAUUGCACAAAGUUUGAAUGAAGAAGGAAACUGCCCUUAAAGGCAGGAAGGUGAGAAGUGGCAUAAGUUUAAGUUGUAGUACUAGAAGAAGUAUGAUAAGAAGUCAAGUCGUGAUACUAGUAGUCAUGUCAGCAGUAGAAGUAGAUUGAGAAUAAAAGAAGUAUAAGUCAAAGUAGUAAAGAAAGUAGAAAUAGUAGCAAUAGCAGUUGAAGUAGAGGGGAAAGUACUAGUUUAAUUGACAUAAGUAGUUGUAGUACUAGAGGUAGGAUUUUGUUUGAAGGACGGAUUAAUGCAUAAAUAUUAAAACUAAUAUAAAACAGGGAACAUUUUAUUAAUUAAAGAUCCACAAGUAUCAGACAGUUUUUAAGUAUUAGAAAGGUUUGAAUCAUUUUGAAUGAGUUUAAAUUAGUUUGAAAAAUUAAAUGAUGAAUCAUCACUGAGUGACUUAUAAAAGUGAAAAAUUUAAAUGAAUAUAAAUCCUGAAUACACCCCAUAAUGUCCUCAAUGAGCUUAAAUUUUAAAGCCCUGAAUGGUUUCUGUAGGUCAAAGGUCAUGUGAGGAGAUAGGGGCUGAAGGUUUUUCAAGCGCUCUAUAUAUGUAUAAGGAGCUUGUGAGAACACAAGACUCUGCUGAACACAUUAAUACAAUUUAUUAUCACAAUCCUCAAAACACCCCAUAAUAUCUUCAAUGAGCUGAAUUUUUGAAGCCCAGAAUGGUUUCUGUAGCUCAAAGUUUGUGGGUGGAGAUAGGUGGUGAAGCAGACACAUAUUAACUGUGUGUACAAGCAGCUGAACUGCAAGGUGGACCUCAAAAAGCAACAAGUACAAGAAUGUGUGUGCGUGUGUGUGUGUGUGUCUCGUUAAUGACUGCAUCCUAAACAGCUGUGAGAUCAAAGGCAAAUCACUAACCUACUGUUUGAAUGAGAAGCAGCUGAACUGCAGUGAAUUUCAGCCUGUGAACUUCUUCACAUAGCGUGAUUUCCUUAAGUCCCAGAAUGAAAAUAAGAACAUCGUACGAAUCCUCCGUCCUUCAUGAACACAAUGAUGUGUUUUUCAUGUCUGUACUUCGAAAAAUGAGGCCACAACAGCGAGUUAAAAAAGUCUGAGCCUGAGCGAUGAUCCGGAUUUUCUUGGAGAAAAAUAACAUUAUGGUCAAUGGGAGAGAUUUCCGCCUUCCUUGGACAGUUGGUCAUCUGCUGGCCAAGGGGUACGAUUUAAUGAUUUGAAACCUCUUUUGUGAGAAGCAGGACACAUAUACCUCCAUUUUGAUGUAUUAUUUAUCGCUGUGGAGUGAGAUUUGUGGGCGUGGGAGCGAUAUAUUCGAGCGAGCUUCUGUCGAUCAGAGACGAGGUCUGCACUCUAGCUGAUGACAUCAUCACUCUAAACUCUCCAAUACACACCCAUUAUAAAGCUUGAAAUUUGCUGAAAACCACAAGUUGCUUAAAGCUAAAUUGUGGAAAAACUGUACAAGAUAUCAAAAAACUGAGUACAACUUUAAUAGUCGACAAGUGAAUGAACAUUUUAAAGCAAAAAUGAGGUCUCUAGGUGAAAGUAUGCUGAAGUUAUAAGGUCUAGAAGGUGGAAGAAUAAAAGGAAGAAGUGGAAGAUUUCCCCAUUGACUUCAAUGUUAAAAUUUUUGCACAAAAAGUUAAAAAAAACAAAAAGUAUAAAAGGUAGAAAGGUAAAAAGUACAAGCAAACAUGUCCUGAAGGAGUGGAAUAGUUUAAAGUUUGAACGGUUGAAAUCGCACAAAGUUUGAAGGAGUUGAAAGCGGACGAAAAACGGCGGAAGAAUAAUAAUAAGUUUAAUAAUAAAGAAACAGGAGAAUAACAAUAAGUGGAAAUGCUUAAUCAGCAUUUCCACUUAACUAGAAAAAUUGCAUUUCCUUGCAGAAAAUGCGUGGAAAUGCUGAGUGCUGAAAGCUGAAAAAGCAAUGCUAAACUGCUAAUAAAACAUGGAGAAAGGUAUAAAUGUUAAAGCUGUUGAAGUAAUGAAAAAGAAAUAUAAGUUGGAUAAUGGUUUCAUUGGUUGAAGGACAAAUAGUAUGAAUAUGCUCUAUAAAAGGAAAUUUUAUUCAUGCUGAAAGAGGCUAGAAAAAUGUCUAAAAUUGCACAAAGUUUGAAUAAAGAAGGAAACUGCCUUUAAAGGCAGGAAGGUGAGAAGUGGCAUAAGUUUAAGUUGUAGUACUAGAAGAAGUAUGAUAAGAAGUCAAGUCGUGAUACUAGUAGUCAUGUCAGCAGUAGAAGUAGAUUGAGAAUAAAAGAAGUAUAAGUCAAAGUAGUAAAGAAAGUAGAAAUAGUAGCAAUAGCAGUUGAUGUAGAGGGGAAAGUUCUAGUUUAAUUGACAUUAGCAGUAGUUGUCGUACUUGAGGUAGGAUUUUGUUUGAAUGAUGGAGUAAUGCAUAAAUAUUAAAACUAAUUUAAAACAGGGAAAUUUUAAAUUAUCAAAAGUCCUCAAGUAUCAGAAAGUUUUGAAGUAUUAGAAAGGUUUGAAUCAGUUUGAAUGAGUUUAAAUUAGUUUGAAAAAUUAAAUGAUAAAUCAUCACUGAGUGACUUUUAAAAUGUGAAAAAUUUAAAUGAAUAACAAUCCUAAAUACACCCAAUAAUGUCCUCAAUGAGCUUAAAUUUCAAAGCCCUGAAUGGUUUCUGUAGGUCAAAGGUCAUGUGAGGAGAUAGGGGCUGAAGUUUUUUCCAACGCUCUAGAAAAAGGUUUUAAGUGUCAUCCCAAUUGCUAUGUGUACUGAGCCUGGCUUCAUGUGUCUCAUAUGGCCACUAGAAGCAGCUUUCCAGUCAGCUGUGUGUCUCCAGGUGCACAAAUUAGUUGCCAUGGGGACCUUGGAUGCAUAACUAUAGCAGGAGAAAGAAGGCUUGAAGCUAAGGAAACAGGGCUCCAAGUAGGCCCUGGCACUCAUCGUCUGUAUCUAUUCCUGAUAAGGAGCUUGUGAGAACACAAGACUCUGCUGAACACAUUAAUACAAUUUAUUAUCACAAUCCUCAAAACACCCCAUAAUAUCUUCAAUGAGCUGAAUUUUUGAAGCCCAGAAUGGUUUCUGUAGCUCAAAGUUUGUGGGUGGAGAUAGGCGCUGAAGCAGACACAUAUUAACUGUGUGUACAAGCAGCUGAACUGCAAGGUAGACCUCAUAAAGCAACAAGUACAAGUAUGUGUGUGUGUGUGUGUGUGUGUCUCGUUAAUGACUGCAUCCUAAACAGCUGUGAGAUCAAAGGCAAAUCACUGACCUACUGUUUGAAUGAGAAGCAGCUGAACUGCAGAGGAUUUAGAGGCUCUAAACUUCUUCACAUAGCGUGAUUUCCUUAAGUCACAGAAUGAAAAUAAGAACAUCGUACGAAUCCUCCGCCCUUCAUGAACACAAUGAUGUGUUUUUCAUGUCUGUACUUCGAAAAAUGAGGCCACAACAGCGAGUUAAAAAAGUCUGAGCCUGAGCGAUGAUCCGGAUUUUCUUGGAGAAAAAUAACAUUAUGGUCAAUGGGAGAGAUUUCCGCCUUUUUUGGACAGUUGGUCACCUGCUGGCCAAGGGGUACGAUUUAAUGAUUUGAAACCUCUUUUGUGAGAAGCAGGACACAUAUACCUCCAUUUUGAUGUAUUAUUUGUGUCAGUGGAGUGAGAUUUGUGGGCGUGGGAGCGAUAUAUUCGAGCGAGGUUCUGUCGAUCAGAGACGAGGUCUGCACUCUAGCUGAUGACAUCAUCACUCUAAACUCUCCAAUACACACCCAUUAUAAAGCUUGAAAUUUGCUGAAAACCACAAGUUGCUUAAAGCUAAAUUGUGGAAAAACUGUAAAAGAUAUCAAAAAACUGAGUACAACUGUAAUAGUCGACAAGUGAAUGAACAUUUUAAAGCAAAAAUGAGGUCUCUAGGUGAAAGUAUGCUGAAGUUAUAAGGUCUAGAAGGUGGAAGAAUGAAAGGAAGAAGUUGAAGAUUUCCCCAUUGACUUCAAUGUUAAAAUUUUUGCACAAAAAGUUAAAAAAAUCAAAAAGUAUAAAAGGUAGAAGAGUGAAAAGUAAUAGCCAUCAUGUCCUGAAGGAGUGGAAUAGUUUAAAGUUUGAACGGUUGAAAUCGGACAAAGUUUGAAGGAG